UGUUGGAGAGCUCAGAAAAAGAUCUUCUAGCACCAAGUCGUUCCUUGCAGACAGCCCAAACUGUUGGCCAAUAUGUGGAUUUCUGGUGCAGCUGACUGCCAAUAAAGAGGCCACACUGCUGGAAACCUUUGCAUAUCUUCGGGGGUCAGAGUGCUGGGCUUGGGCACUGAGAAGUAUUAAGGCAGUUUUGCAGCCUACCGCAGAUACCAUGAGCUAUGGACUCAUCCAUCCCACAUCUCAUCCAGCUAGUGGAUGAAAUUAGAGAUACAGAGAAAGGGAGAGCAGUCUGCUGCGAGUAAAUGUACUGUACUUCUCUGAGGUGCUCCAGAAAGCUUGGGAGGAUAAAAGGCUGACGGCUUCUCUGGUCUGCCUUGCAGAAAUAAAAAUGAAUACAAAUGAAGGCUGCUCUAUUGGCUUGCUUGCUUCGUGUCUUAUGGAUCUGUCAGGGUAGAGGAGGACUCAAAAACAGGUAACUUUCAAGUUUUUAGGUUCUGUUGUCAGUCAACAGAAAAGUAGAAAGAAGAGAAUCCAAAAUAGCCAGCAGAGAUUCAGAAAAAUCUCUGGAAAUAAAGAUUUGGACAAGGGAAGCACGUGGGGGCCACAACAGCUGUUUGACAUCCAGGAGCUGCUUUCCUCUGACCCUACAGUAAUUAGGAGCUACUGUUACUCAGGACUUCAGUCCUGGCUACUUUUUAACAACCAACACAAUGUAAGAAGUCACAGUACUGCCUGUCGGCCCACAGUUGCUGGAGCACAAGCUCUGGAAUCUGAGCUUUAUGCCAACUGUGGGCACGUUACCACAAGUUGUACCAAGAUACUUCUCCCAUGCGUGAACCUGAUGCCACUGAGUGUAGAGAACUGGCUGUGUCCAGACUUGUGCAGCACAGAAAGCAUUGGCCUGCACGAAUCCAAGCUGGGCUUCUACUGUGAAAAUGGGAAGUGUGGUUAGCAAUUCAAACAAGUUACAGAGGGAUCUCUGGAAUGAAAUACACUGAAAAGUUUUCAAGGUGCUAAAAUGCUCCAGAAAUCAGGGAGUCCAACAUCAAGAAGAGCUGGAAAAAGGCAGAUCCCAAAGAGGAAACAGGAAAUGAAAUGCAAAUAAGGAAGGAAGAGGACAAAUGAAACAUAGUACUGCCCACUGCUGAUAGCUGAACCUUUUCAGCCUGCUAUAUCAAGAUAGAAACAAGAAGAUAGAGAAUGAAGUAAAAUGAAAUAUGCCAAUGGAGCCCUCAAAAAGACAUCUUGCAAAUACAUAUCCUCGUGAAGAAGGUACUACUGCAUGAUGACCUGUGCCAACUACUAGAACGCCUCCGAAACAGUGGACAAAAACUCUAAAUCAUUUUUUGCUAUUGUAUGGGAACUGUUGAGUCAUGGCCUGAACCACUGAUUGAGCACCUGGGGAAGGGACCCUGUCAGCCCUGGGAGCACAGGUGAAGGCAAUUCAGCUGUGUGACCUGAAGGGGUGGGACCCUGGCUGCACCUCUCUUAGACUCCAUUUAAGGGCUGACUGCCACUGAGGAAGGAUCUUUUCCUGGAUUUCUCCCUUGUGAAGUUUUCCCUGCAAGCCUAGAUCUUCAGAUAUGGGUCAUUUCUUUGCACGUCCAGCACUUUUCAAUCCUGUCUCAACCAAAUUUGUAUUUAUGUCCUGGGCUUUGCUGUCUGAAGCUCCAAGGCCGCCAGCAAUGGGAAGUUCUUUGACCCAUGGAACAGCCAAAGGACACCUGCAUUUUACUUGUGAACGGAUUAUGUGUGGAACUCCUCCUGUGGUGGUACCAAAGCGAUGCAAUGUCUUCAUAGCACCGGGAGUGUUCUCCCAGCCUGAAGGUGUGUCAGUUCCAAGCCAGCCUUUCACAAAAACACCCAGACGUUGGCAGCAUCAAACUCUGCUCUGAGUUGCAACCACACAGCAUGGCGUGACCUGCUUGAGCCGCACAGGUCUGCUGCUAGGUGGAGAAGGAACCCAGUAACCAAACUACAGCAGCAGGAGAGGUUGUAUCUUUGGAGAGGCUCCACCAGGCUGCACUUACCAGGUAUAUCUGUGUUGCAGUUAUGUCUUUCUGCCUUUCCGCAGGUGAUCAGAAAGGGUUAAAAAGCCCUGUGAUAUAGGUUGGUGCUCGCACUGAAUCUACACCCACCAUAUAUAUAAGUAUAUAUAUCAGGUUUUGGAGGGGAGGUUACACAUGUCACUGGCCAUAACUCAGACUUUUAUUAUAAUCGUGACCAUAUGGUUAAUGGGACUUAAUAAACCACCAUUGACCUGGACUCUGUGUGCACAAAUCUCUUGCUCUCUUUCUCUUUCUUAACUCACUUGUCUGGACACACUAUGCCAAGCAGCUGCAACUUACAGUUUGAAAGCACCAGUUCCAGUGGUCAGCAGCUAGUUAAUUUAGGAAGAAUAAAACCCCAAGAAAGCCACAUUGCAGCACAGCCCAUGGGGGACAGGAGCUGACCCUCCCAGGGCAGCUGUUCAAUGCAUCCCAUGGAUGUGAGCCUGA